rnacentral:rRNA from 1 species
UACGUUCCCGGGCCGUUGUACACACCGCCCGUCACACCACGAAAGUCGGCAAUACCCGAAGCCGGUGGCCUAACCCGUAAGGGAGGGAGCCGUCGAAGGUAGGGUCGAUGAUUGGGGUG